CCUACGGGAGGCAGCAGUGGGGAAUAUUGGACAAUGGGCGAAAGCCUGAUCCAGCCAUGCCGCGUGUGUGAAGAAGGCCUUCGGGUUGUAAAGCACUUUCAGUGGGGAGGAAAGCCUUGAGGCUAAUACGCUCGAGCUAUGACAUCACCCACAGAAGAAGCACCGGCUAACUCCGUGCCAGCAGCCGCGGUAAUACGGAGGGUGCGAGCGUUAAUCGGAAUUACUGGGCGUAAAGCGCGCGUAGGCGGUCUGAUAAGCCGGUUGUGAAAGCCCCGGGCUCAACCUGGGAACGGCAUCCGGAACUGUCAGGCUAGAGUGCAGGAGAGGAAGGUAGAAUUCCCGGUGUAGCGGUGAAAUGCGUAGAUAUAGGGAGGAAUACCAGUGGCGAAGGCGGCCUUCUGGACUGACACUGACGCUGAGGUGCGAAAGCGUGGGUAGCAAACAGGAUUAGAUACCCUAGUAGUC
rnacentral:rRNA from 1 species